GGACCCGUAGCUCAGCGGUAGAGCGUGUGAUUCCAGUCCACAAGGUCAUCCGUUCAAUCCGGGUCGGGUUCA
rnacentral:tRNA from 1 species